GAAGUAUAAAGAAAGUUAGGAAAAAUGGAGAAGGGUAUUCAGGAACACAAGGCUUGAUACAAGUAGGGGUGUUCAUAGGUACCGGAUACCCGAUUACUCAAACUAAACCCAACUGAACCAAUUAAAUUAUUUCUGAAACCAAUGGGUAAUUGGACACAAUCCAAACUGAACUGAUGAUAUUCUCUGGUGAUUGGUCCGGGUAAUGAUUCUAGGGUUGCGGAACUCGAACCAACCCAGAGACCCGUACCAUUAUUAAUUAAAUUAAAAAAAUAUAAAUUUAAAAUCUAUAUACCUUUUACUGAUUCUAACCUUGACCUAAACACAUUGCAGCGACAAUCACCCAUCGUAUGAUUAACCUUAGCAGAGCACCCUCAGUCCUUCACGACCUCACUAUUACUUACCCAACCAAAUCGACAACAGCUUUCUCUCGUCGGUGUCUCCUUCUGCAUCUCUGUCAGUGCCUCCAUCAGCAUCCUCGUCAGCGGGUCUUUGUCAGCAUCGUCGUCUCUGUCAGUAUCAUCGUCUCCGUGACCUUCAGCAUCGUCUUCUCUGGUAGCUAUAGGGUCGUCUUCUCUGGCAGCAUCUUUAUCUUCCGUUAGCGUGCUUCGUCUAGCAUGUGUCAACAAUGUCUGUGUCAUCAUCUACUCGUCAACAAUGACCUUUCCUUCGUCUGUAGUGGUUAUCUUCUCUAGUCAGGUAACGAUCUAGUUUCUUUAGGUUAAGCGUUAAUUUUUUUUAUGUUAUCUAUUAAUUGUUUUACUCUCUGCUCAAUUUUUGUUUAUUUUUUAUUCUUGUUGAUAAUUUUUUGUUUAAUUUUUACUGUUGGAAAAACCUAACCCUGUCAACGACACUGAUGUUGGAAGCACAUCAUCUCUAGGUGUAACCACUCUCACUGCCAUUGACAAUGGUAUUUCUGGUGGAACAUCGCAAAGUCCAACUCUUCCACAAUUUCUUGUCUCAAAUCCUUCAUCAGAACCUGAUGCACAAAUACAAACCGAAGCUACUGGAGCUACUGGUGAGCCUCCAAAGAAGAGCUUCAACUUUAACAAUAUCUAAUCAAGCCGUUGGAGUUGAUGUUGUUUAAUUUACAAUUUGAGGUCACAACUCCUCUCUUGAACAUACUUGGUUGAUGGAAUGAAGGAUUAUGGUGUAAAGACUUUGAAGGAUUAUUUCUAUUGCACUUUUAUAUUUAGUUUUUAAUGUGUUUGGAAUUUGAUUUGUUUGGUGUUUAAUAUGUUUGGAUUUUAAUGUAUUAAGUAUUUAAUAUGUUUGAAUUUUAAUGUGUUUGAUGUUUGGAUACCUCUAGUUUGGAUUUUAAUGUGUUUAGACUUUUGAUUAGGGCAAUGACUUAAGUAUUUAGCUAUAAUUGUGGAUUGUUAUGGGUAUUUUAUUAUUGUUAGCAUAUUAUUGAUUUAUUUAUUGAUUUUACAUGUUUAUUAUAUUUACAGAAUUUUUAAGAUAAACAUUUUAUUUUUUAUGAAUUUCUGUUUUAUCAGGUACCCAAUUACUCGAACCGAACCAAUCCGUUCUUAAUCGGUUUGUUUGGUUUGGGUACACAAAAAAAUUAAAUUCGAACCAAUUACAAUUUAAUUGAUUCAGUUCGGUUCUAAUUUCACCCCAAACCCGAACCAACUCGACCCGUGAACACCCCUAAUACCAAGAGAAGAUGAAUGGAUGAAUGAUUCACAUGAAGUGAGGGGAACCCCAGGAAAAAUGUGCACUCUCUCAGCCACAGUCAAACAAGGUCCCAUAAAUAACUAUAUAGAGGAAGAUAGCAAUCUCUCUGACGAGGACAGCCUGGACAUGGAGGAGGAUAUCAGGAUACCAGAGAAAAUCAAUCAAGGAAGCCAUACAAGAACUGAAACUCAUAGUUUACCUUAAAUUAAAGUGAAAAAAGUGAAAGAAAGUCUAUUUAACAUAAUGAUUAAUGGAGCAACAGGGAGGAGGCUUUGGAAACCUUGGUGGGAAACAUUGAUAGUAAAGCUGCUAGGAAGAAAAAUAGGAUAUGUAGCCAUGAAGAGAAGAUUGGAAGCCAUAUGGAGUAACAAAGGAAGUAUUGAUGUCAUAGAUCUAGGGUAGGACUACUAUUUGGUUAAGUUCUAUGCAUAAGAAUAUCUUGAUUUUGCUCUCUUAGAAGGACCUUAGAAAGUGUAUGAUCACUAUCUAACCAUAAGGACGUGGGAACCUAACUUUAAUCCACUUACAACCGAUACUGACAAGAUAACAGCUUGGGUGAGGCUCCCGAGACUUCCAAUUGAACUGUAUCAUAGAAUUGUGCUAAAGAAUAUAAGAAACAUUAUAGGAAUAACUAUAAAAGUGGACAAAAACACCAUGAAAGUGUGUAGGGGAAAAUUCGCAAGAAUAUGCGUGGAAGUGGUUUUGACUAAACCUUUGGUGGGACGAUAUAUGAUAAAUGGUAGAGAAUACUUGGUGGAGUAUGAAGGCAUUCACCAAAUAUGUUUCUCCUGGGGAAGAAUAUACCAUGACCAAAAAAUAUGUCUAGCAAGAGCAAAUAACGCAAUAGACAAAGAGCACAAUUCACAAGCAAUCCAAAAAGAAAAAGAACCUCAGCAAGAAGAAGAGACAACACAUCCAAAUAAAGAAAAAAAAUCAACAACUUAGAUAAAGGGAAGCAGAUUGUGAGCGCUGAAAAUGAUAAAAAUUUUAGUCCAUGGAUGGUUGUUCAAAGACCAAGAAAAGAUAAAAAAGAAAGCAAAGUGGAGUUAAGCAAGCAAGCAUCAGAGAUAUCUAAAACAAAAGAAAAUGGGUCAAGAUUCAGUGCGCUUUAGGUGAAAGAGACAGAAUAGGGUUAGAUAGUGCUCGAAGGCCAAAGAGGAGAAGAAACAUCAGAGGAACCGGUGAAAGAACACACUAUUGAUAACAAGGGAAAAGGAGUUAAAUCUCAACAGCUAAAAGUUAAAGACAACCAAGAAAACACAGGAAAAAAAAGAUAAAAGAGGGACUAAAGAUAGGGAGGCAAAAGGACAUUGAAUCAACAAAAUGAGGGAGAAAAAAAAAUUCAAACUGACAUGACUAAGCCACAACAAAUUGAAGGGAAAAAGAACAACUCUAUGGUUCACUAUAAUGAGAACUAGAUAAAAGCAAGUAACCACUCUCCUUCAAUGAUGGAGGAGGAUAUUAACUUUAUCUACCCAGUAAUACUAGAAGAAGAAAAAUCUCCUAAUUCAACAUCCACAAAUCAUAACAAGGUAGCACUUAUGGAUAUAGAAUAUACCAAUUCAGACCCAAAUAGAAGCUUAUUGGAGGGGGUGGACUUCACCACCCCAUAAAUUAGUGCCCUUAUGGACACUAAAAUGCAAAAUAUUUAAUUUUUCAAGUUACUCUUUCCAGAAUUUUAGUCUCAAUUUCUUUUUUCUCAUAUUUUAUUUAAAAUUCCUGUGUUUAUACGGAAUGUUAGGGGAGCGACAAGCAACAAGUUCAAGUGUAUUUUUAUUGAAUUGAUGAGGCCACAUAGGCCAGAUAUCGCUGUCCUGUUGGAAACUAGGUGCAGUAGGAAUAAUGCUAAAAAUAUUAUUCAACAACUAGGGUUCUCUAGCUAUUUCGUUAACGAGGCACAAGGGUUUGUUGGGGGCAUCUGAGUGUGUUGGAAAAGACCUAACCUCAACAUCGAUAUCAUUGAAACCCACCCACAAUAUGUUCAUAUGAAAAUAAAAAUAAGAUUAGAACCCAUUGGUUUUUCAUUGCUCUUUAUGCCAAUCUUCAUCCCAUCUAUAGAAGAGAGCUUUGGCCAAGGUUAUUAAGCAUUGCUAACUCUCUAACUGGGGAUUGAAUGAUGGGGGGAGACUUCAAUGUAAUUACGGACAGUUCAAAAAGAAAAGGGCAGCAGUGUGGAUAUCAGAGGAUGCAACUGAUUUGCUAACUGGAUAAAUAGAUGUGAUCUCAUAUAUUUGGGGUUUAAUGGUACAAGGUUCACCUGGAAGGGAGCGCAAAGAGAGGGGCAAGAGAGAGUGUUCAAGAGGUUAGACAGAGCUCUAGCCAAUGUCUCUUAGAAGAACAGAUUCCAUGAAGUUGUAGUGGAGGUUUUAGCCAGAUCUAAUUCUGACCAUCACCCCCUCCUCAUAACUAUAGAAAAGAAUAAAAAUAGAAGAGACAAUAAACCCUUUAGAUUCGAGGCUAUGUGGUGUCAACACCUUGACUUUUAAAAUUAUUUUUCUAAAAGCUGGAACAAGCAAAACAACCUCAUUAUAGCUUUAAAUAAUUUAAAGAAUGAUUUUUUUGAGUGGAACAAGAAGUGCUUCGGGAAUAUCAUUAAGCCCAAAAAAAAGUGCUUAAUAGAAUUGCUAGUGUUCAAAAGAGCAACUCAUAUGGCCAAAAUCCUUACCUAGACAAGCUGGAGCAAGAUUUUAACAAGGAGCUUGAAGAUAUUCUUGACAAAGAAAAAACUU